UCGCCCUUAGAGUUUGAUCCUGGCUCAGGAUGAACGCUAGCUACAGGCUUAACACAUGCAAGUCGAGGGGCAGCAUGAACUUAGCUUGCUAAGUUUGAUGGCGACCGGCGCACGGGUGAGUAACACGUAUCCAACCUGCCGAUGACUCGGGGAUAGCCUUUCGAAAGAAAGAUUAAUACCCGAUGGCAUAGUUCUUCCGCAUGGUGGAACUAUUAAAGAAUUUCGGUCAUCGAUGGGGAUGCGUUCCAUUAGGUUGUUGGCGGGGUAACGGCCCACCAAGCCUUCGAUGGAUAGGGGUUCUGAGAGGAAGGUCCCCCACAUUGGAACUGAGACACGGUCCAAACUCCUACGGGAGGCAGCAGUGAGGAAUAUUGGUCAAUGGACGAGAGUCUGAACCAGCCAAGUAGCGUGAAGGAUGAAGGUCCUACGGAUUGUAAACUUCUUUUAUAAGGGAAUAAACCCUCCCACGUGUGGGAGCUUGUAUGUACCUUAUGAAUAAGCAUCGGCUAACUCCGUGCCAGCAGCCGCGGUAAUACGGAGGAUGCGAGCGUUAUCCGGAUUUAUUGGGUUUAAAGGGAGCGUAGAUGGAUGUUUAAGUCAGUUGUGAAAGUUUGCGGCUCAACCGUAAAAUUGCAGUUGAUACUGGAUAUCUUGAGUGCAGUUGAGGCAGGCGGAAUUCGUGGUGUAGCGGUGAAAUGCUUAGAUAUCACGAAGAACUCCGAUUGCGAAGGCAGCCUGCUAAGCUGCAACUGACAUUGAGGCUCGAAAGUGUGGGUAUCAAACAGGAUUAGAUACCCUGGUAGUCCACACGGUAAACGAUGAAUACUCGCUGUUUGCGAUAUACGGCAAGCGGCCAAGCGAAAGCGUUAAGUAUCCCACCUGGGGAGUACGCCGGCAACGGUGAAACUCAAAGGAAUUGACGG
rnacentral:rRNA from 1 species